rnacentral:rRNA from 1 species
GACGAACGCUGGCGGCGUGCUUAACACAUGCAAGUCGAACGGAAAGGCGUUGCUUUUGUGGGGUGCUCGAGUGGCGAACGGGUGAGUAACACGUGAGUAACCUGCCCUUGACUUUGGGAUAACUUUAGGAAACUGGGGCUAAUACCGGAUAGGAGCUCCUGCUGCAUGGUGGGGGUUGGAAAGUUUCGGCGGUUGGGGAUGGACUCGCGGCUUAUCAGCUUGUUGGUGGGUUAGUGGCUUACCAAGGCGUUGACGGGUAGCCGGCCUGAGAGGGUGACCGGCCACAGUGGGACUGAGAAAGGGCCCAAGCUCCUACGGGAGGCAGCAGUGGGAAAUAUUGCACAAUGGGCGGAGGCCUGAUGCAGCAACGCCGCGUGCGGGAUGACGGCCUUCGGGUUGUAAACCGCUUUCGCCUGUGACGAAGCGUGAGUGACGGUAAUGGGUGAAGAAGCACCGGCUAACUACGUG